rnacentral:tRNA from 1 species
GCCGCUGUGGUGUAACUGGUGUGUCACGUUAGUCUGAAGAACUUGAGGUCCCCGUUCGAACCGGGGCGGCGGCA